CCCCCGGGCGCGGAGCGCCUCCUCGGGCUCUGCGGCCGCGCUCUCGCAGGGGCGCCCCGGCGCCAGCCCCCGCGAGAGAGAGAGAGAGAGGUCUUCCUUUCUGUUGGUUCACCCCCCCAAAUGACCGCCACCGUGGGCGCUGCGCUGAUCCAAAGCCAGGAGCCAGAUGCUUCCUCCUGGUGUCCCAUGCAGGUGCAGGGGCCCAAGCACUUGAGCCAUCCUCCACUGCCUUCCCGGGCCACAGCAGAGAGCUGGACUGGAAGAGGAGCAACCGGGACAGAAUCCGGCGCCCCAACCGGGACUUGAACCUGGGAUGCCUGCGCUGCAGGCAGAGGAUUAGCCUAGUGAGCCGCGGCGCCAGCCUUCAUUACUUCUUGCGUUUGCUAUUUUUUGUUUGCUACAGUGAAUCAGUUUUAUGAGAAAGUCUUAGCAAUUUCCCAUGCUGGCAUUUGUCUUCUAACUGUGGAAGGAUGCUAGGAACCCCUGAAAUAUUUGGGUCUAUGGGUGUAGAAAACUAUAUCCAGUGGCCUCAGCUGGGCUGCAGUGAUACGCUGGUAAGAAAUGUUGAUUCUGGCAACUCCUCAGGAAUACUAAAGGUUUUCUGAGGCAAUCAAAAUGAGGUUUUCUGGCCCAGAUCCUGCUAUUCCUAUUCCUCACUGAUCCCCUGCCCUUAAGUGACAUUACAUCUUGUUUUAAUACAGGUUAAUGGAAUUUUGUUUUCUUAAAGCUACUAAAAGUGGUUAAAAAAAAAAAAAACUCUGACAUAUAAAAAGGAUAUUGUGUGUGUAUGUGUGUGCGCACACAUUUCACUUCCACCCUGUUGACUUUAAGUAAGUAAUGUCGUAAGUGAAGACUCUGAUAGCUCCUUAUUUUAUGACCAAGUUUCAAUUUCUGCCUCCUCUGAAUUCUGGAAGAUUUUAGUUUUUGCAAAGCAAUGCUGUGUUUUUUGGACUGAACAAAAUUUCCUGAUUUUUUUUCUCCCAGAAGUUCCCCGGAAAGUCUAAUGGCAUAAUUGCCAGACUGAUGAUUUUGUAUUUGUUGCAUGUUAAAAGCUGAGUAGCUUUAAAGACAAUUUAGGGAGAUACCACAAUAAUAUCUUACUGUAUAUGAAUAAAGCGAUUACCAGAGA